ACCCGCCCCGGCUCUCUUCAUUUCAAGAAUACGUGCAUGUGGAAGUCGCCGUCCGAUCACACUCGUAGGAAGGCGCACCCAUCAGAUGUAAGAGAAUACAACCCUUCUUCUGGAGCCGCAGCCACAACCACGACAGCAAACCAGGAAGAAAGAAAGAAAAAACGGAGGCGAGCAGAAACGUGCGGCACCCGAACGGCACUUUGAGAACCUUCACCUUGGAUAUUUUCUAUCCUCGUCUGGCUGAGAAGGUGCCAAGCUGACCGCCCCAGAGUGAAGGUGGCUGGCUGCUCGUGCAGCACAGACGUACAUCGGCGUCGGCGCAGCGUGCGUGAGCAGGGGCUGAAAGGGUGAGGGGUGAGGGGACAAUGAAGGACCGAGCAAAACGCCCCUUGACAGCCGAGCUCGUCCCGUGGAGGCUGCUGUGCUCGGCGGACACUCACGUGCAUGCAUUCCUACUGCUCAUCGCUGCCACUAUUUUCAGCAACGGAGUGCGCUUAGGUAUGGCGUUUGAUGACGAUUCAGCGGUUGUCAACAACCCCGACGCCUACGUGGGCAAGACGUCACUCGGCUCCAUCUUCUUCAACGACUUCUGGGGAAAGCCGAUCGACAGCUUCGAGUCGAACGGGUCUUACCGUCCCAUCACCGUGCUCACCUUUCGCAUCCAGCAUUGGUUGAUGGGCUACCGCCACAGCCCCGCCUUCCUCCACGGCUUCAACUACGCAAUCGCGUAUCUCAACGUGUGCCUCGUGUUUUACCUCGCACGCUUGUACGUCUACAUGGUGGUGCCCAGCGCAGUGCUCGCCGUCGAGAAUGCCAAGGCGCAUUCCCUCACGGCUUUGCUGACCUCUCCCGUGUAUGCGGUGCCCUUGAUGGCGGCUCUGCUGUUCCUCGUGCACCCCGUCCACGUCGACGCCGUCACCUCCAUCGUGGGGCGGAGCGAGCUGCUCUACUGUCUCUUUGGGCUCAUCGGAUUCUUCUGCAUCCACCGGUAUCUAAACCAAGUCGAUGAGACGGCCGGCACGGCCCCAGUGACUGCAGCGCCCCCCGCAAAGCAGUCGAAAGGGGCGCGCGUGCCCCAGAAGCCGUCACGCAAGCAUGUCAGCACUGAACACUACGUUGUCUUGUCCAUCUGGGCGCUUGCAAUAAGCGUCCUCUGCAAGGAUAGCGCCAUAACGUUCACCGCUGUCUAUGGCGUGCACGCAUGUGUCAUGUACGCCUGUGGGCGGUGCCAGAGGCGUCACUCGUUCAUGGUGAUCGUAUUGGCAGUCGUGGAGCUGCUGGGCUAUCUCGCCUUCCGACGCGAGUUUGUGGGCAAUGUCGACCUACGGACGAACCCGCUGCUGAGCCAGUCGGAGCAACCGCAGUACUUCGUGCCGAAAGGCCUCUUUCACUGGCUCAGCAUUCGGUGGUUGAUUCAGAUGAAGAACUUGGAGCUGCUUUUCUUCCCCACGUCGCUGUGCAACGAGUACAGCUUCAAUUGCAUACCGCAUGUUCAUAGCAUGCAGGAUCCCCGCGUGCCGAGCUUUCUCGCGAUCACCGGUGCUGCCGUGCUCACGCUGCUGAGCCUGUUGUUCGGCACGUUUGCGCUCCGUUCGCGCGCCGCGCUGGCGGGUCUCGCCGGGUUCCUCUGGAUGGCAAUUCCGUACGCCCCGGUCAGCCAUCUUUUCGUCGCUGUUGGCACCUUCAUCGCGGAACGUUGCCUGUACGUGCCGUCCAUUGGCGCGGUGCUGCUCAUCACCUUCAUCGUAGCCGCCCCGGGCCUUCGCGAUGGUGUCGUCGCGCGGUACUUUUACGCGCUGCUGCUGCUGUGCGUUGGCUGGGGUGUCUUCUCCCACCGGCGCAACGACGACUGGCAGUCGAACGAGCACCUGUCGCGGGCCGCCACGCGUACCUGCCCAAAUAGCGGCAAGGCACACUUCCAGCUCGCUGCCGCCGUGGCCGCCCGGGAGAAAUCCGUGACGCCGGAGGUGGCCGCUUUGGCACGGCGUUCGCUGGAGCUAGAUCCGUCGUCCCACCGCGGCUACUACCACUUGGCUCUCUAUGAGCUGCACGUCAACGACGACAAGCGCAAGGCCUACGAGUACCUCCGCAAGUGCCUGGAUGAUCGGUUCGCCUACAUGCCGUGUGAUGAUCUCUACCGGCGAGUGCGCAGUGUCGUGUACCCCGAAAUGACGGAGGUAGAACAAUAUGUGGACCUCGCCACCGUUGUGCACCGCGACUCGUACAAGGCAGUGUACCUCCGUCAUGCCGGCAUCAUAGCGCUGGAGCGCGACGCCAAGCCUUGUCUGGCGAAGACGCUGCUUCACAGAGCCAUGACCCGGUGGAACAAUUCCAAUGUGUAUUGGAUGUCGGACGAGGUGAGUCGAGGAGCGGGGGACUCCACGUACUGCAACGCGCUCUACUGGUACGAGCAGUCCUUCUUGCAGUGCGAGAAGCAAUUGAUGGCCGGCGGCGUCGAGUCGGCGAGGGAAGAGGAGGAGAGCGAAUGCGACGACACCGACGACGACGCACACUUGAGCAGUUCGCAGCCGUCAAGGAAGGUUACUCCGCCUACACCGCAGGAGGCAGUGCGUCGGGCGGCGGCCGCCGCGGAGCACUUCCGUCACUGCGGCACCGACUGGCAUCGCUUCCUAUCGGAGCCAACGUAUAACUACAUCACUAUUCCACAUCGCAUGACAGAUUACGUAUUAAUAGGCUCCUCCACCGCCUCCUUCAUCGCACACUUCAUUAACUACACCGCGAGGGACACGCCGGCGCGGAACACGCUGCUGCUGAUCUACCUGGACACCACGUUGCGUCGGUACUGCCACUUUAGCGCUCUCCUGCACGAUGACUACGUGAAUACGAAGAUCGGCCGGCUGUUCAAGGACAAGAUGCAGACCAUCGUGCAAGAAUAUUCGGCGAUGCGCGGCACGCUUGUCUCCGAGAUUCAGAUGACGGUGCGCGACCUCCGAGGCGCCAGUUCGCUCAGUGUCACUCAGAGGGAGACGCUCCGGCGUCUCUUGGCCACGUCACCAUGUGCCAGCGAGCUCCCCUCCUUCCCUCUUUAGCGUUGAGUCUGCUGCUGACCCCCUUUCAAGGUGGCGCGAGAAGGUGGGGCGGAGGGGGGGGGCGAGGGAGGGCAGGGCGGGAGCAUCUCUCUGGCCUCCUGUGGAGCUCUCCCUUUCCUCCUCCUCGUCAUCGCGGCUUCCCUCAUGCGUUGGCCGCUGUGGCGGCACCUAAAAUAUCUAUAUAUCUGUACGUAUAUACAUGUGUAUGUGUGAGGCCCAAGUGCCACCUACGCCAGCGGAGCGCCGUAUAUGCUCCCCAUCGCGCCAAGUGGCUGUGACGCUGUCUCUCGCUCUCUCUCUCUCACGCACCCUGCGUGUUUCCUUUUCUAGAUUGCUGCGUGCCACCCACUCUGCCUGUACCUGCACAGUGUGCACACGCGGGCCAACCGCAUGGAUUGCGUUUGUCGCGGUGGUGUCUUUCUUUUGUUGUUAUCGGCGGCUAUCAGCUUAUGUGUGUGUGUGCGCGCGCGCAUGUCUCGAUGCGCCACUGGCGCUCCUGUGCGGCACUUUGUUCUGUUUUGUUUUUAUUGUUAUUAUUCUUUGUUGCCGAGGGGGUUUCAUUUUGGUGUUGAUGCGUCUUGCUCGGCUCCUCCUCUCUGUCCGCGCAAGCCCGUUUUGUUUUCACCCUCUCAUCUCCUCUUACCGAACACUACCGCCCCGCCCCCACCUUCCUCUUCUUCCUUGGCCCGCUGCGUUUGCCAUCCUCGUUGUUGCACGCUUGGAAAGGGCGAAGAGAGAGUCGAGGUGCGCACAUGUUCACUUCAUGGUGUGACGGUUGCCUGCCAGUGCGGCAACCCUCUUCGUUUCUCGUUCCUUUCCUCUGGUUCAGGCGUAUUCCGACGCUCUCAGGACGGCGGGUAAACCCAUUACAUGCGAUGAGGCCAUAAUCAGCGAGUCUGCAUCGCCCAUGCUCACGGCUUUGGUUUGAUGCCUCGGUAUGGGGCGAAUGUUGCGCGAGGACGUACACCCUGGUCCGUGUGCCGCCAUGACACAGCUCACUCGCACUGGCCUGCUGACCGACCAAGGACGCGGC
rnacentral:misc_RNA from 1 species